GAAGUACUGAGGAAGACUGGAAAAAGUUUUGAAUGUUCACAGGAAGCUUCUGUGAUUAAAGUGGAAAGAUCACCAGGCCUGGAUCACAAGUCUUCUUUUCCUGUUCCUGACAAUGAUGGUUUCACAUUAGGUGGGGAAGAAGAGGGAGACAAGUAAAUCAAAACCACUGAGACCUUCACAGAACUACACAUGCCUUUGUGCCAAGCUAGAGGAGGGAAGGGUAGAGUGUAAAAAGAAAAAAAGCCCUACAGAGUGGGAGCCGUGGACCCUGCACCAAGAGGAGCAGACACACAGGAGGCGGAAGCAGUCCCCGCAGAGGUGAUGGACGUGGCAGAGGGAAAGGCAGCAGUGCUGGCCACUCCCAUGGCUGCUGCUGCUGAGGA